GAUCAUGGCUCAGGAUGAACGCUAGCUACAGGCUUAACACAUGCAAGUCGAGGGCAGCAUGGAGUGCUUGCAAUCCUGAUGGCGACCGGCGCACGGGUGAGUAACGCGUAUCCAACCUUCCCCUUAGUAGGGCAUAGCCCGGUGAAAAUCGGAUUAAUACCCUAUGUUUUCCAAUGCAGACAUCUAAAAUGGAACAAAGGUUCACCGCUAAGGGAUGGGGAUGCGUCUGAUUAGGUAGUAGGCGGGGUAACGGCCCACCUAGCCUUCGAUCAGUAGGGGUUCUGAGAGGAAGGUCCCCCACAUUGGAACUGAGACACGGUCCAAACUCCUACGGGAGGCAGCAGUGAGGAAUAUUGGUCAAUGGGCGAGAGCCUGAACCAGCCAAGUAGCGUGCAGGAUGACGGCCCUAUGGGUUGUAAACUGCUUUUAUAUGGGGAUAAAGUUCACCACGUGUGGUGUUUUGUAGGUACCAUAUGAAUAAGGACCGGCUAAUUCCGUGCCAGCCGCUGC
rnacentral:rRNA from 1 species